rnacentral:pre_miRNA from 1 species
AUUGACAAUUGCUGGAUUUUAUGGUAGUUUAAUGUCUAAUUUUAUAAGAAACUGCCAAACUGUUUUCUGGAGUGGCUGUACCACUUUUUAUUCCCACCAGCAGU